CUUUCUGUUCGGAUCCCGUGGGAGAAGGCGCUGUGGAACACUGUGAAAAGAAAAGCCUGUUCUUGAUUACUAUUUUCUGCCAUUUGAAUGCAGGAUCAUUAAAAGUGCUUUCCAAUCAGCUGUGGUCUGACUGUGGUCACUCUUCUACAAGACACAACGCAGAAUCAACUA